AUCGAACGCUGGCGGCAGGCCUAACACAUGCAAGUCGAGCGAGCGGCGGACGGGUGAGUAAUGCUGGGGAAUCUAGCUGAUGGAGGGGGAUAACUACGGGAAACUGGAGCUAAUAGCGAGUACCACAGGAGGAGCCCAAGUGGGAUUAGGUAGUUGGUGAGGUAAAGGCUCACCAAGCCGACGAUCUCUAGCUGGUCUGAGAGGAUGACCAGCCACACGGGGACUGAGACACGGCCCAGACUCCUCGGGGAGGAAGCAUUGGGGAAUAUUGCGCAUUGGGGGCAACCUGCCACAGCCAUGCCGCGGGAAUGAAGAAGGCCUUCGGGUUGUAAAGUCCUUUCGGUAGCGAGGCGUUACCCGCACAGGAAGCACCGGCUAACUCCGUGCCAGCAGCCGCGGUAAUAC
rnacentral:rRNA from 1 species